rnacentral:rRNA from 1 species
GUCGACGGUAACGCGGGGCAACCUGGCGACGAGUGGCGAACGGGUGAGUAAUAUAUCGGAACGUGCCCAGUUGUGGGGGAUAACUGCUCGAAAGAGCAGCUAAUACCGCAUACGACCUGAGGGUGAAAGCGGGGGAUCGCAAGACCUCGCGCAAUUGGAGCGGCCGAUAUCAGAUUAGGUAGUUGGUGGGGUAAAGGCCUACCAAGCCGACGAUCUGUAGCUGGUCUGAGAGGACGACCAGCCACACUGGGACUGAGACACGGCCCAGACUCCUACGGGAGGCAGCAGUGGGGAAUUUUGGACAAUG